GUUGGUGCUGAUUGCGGUGAGGGUCCACCCGUUCCCAUUCCGAACACGGCAGUUAAGCUCACCUGCGCCGAAAAUACUUACCUGGAGACGGGUCGGGAAGAUAGGUAGUGCCAACA
rnacentral:rRNA from 1 species